rnacentral:rRNA from 1 species
CCUACGGGCGGCAGCAGUGAGGAAUAUUGGUCAAUGGACGAGAGUCUGAACCAGCCAAGUAGCGUGAAGGAUGACUGCCCUAUGGGUUGUAAACUUCUUUUAUAUGGGAAUAAAAUGUUCCACGUGUGGGAUAUUGUAUGUACCAUAUGAAUAAGGAUCGGCUAACUCCGUGCCAGCAGCCGCGGUAAUACGGAGGAUCCGAGCGUUAUCCGGAUUGAUUGGGUUUAAAGGGAGCGUAGGGGGAUUGUUAAGUCAGUUGUGAAAGUUUGCGGCUUAACCGUAAAAUUGCAGUUGAUACUGGCAGUCUUGAGUACAGUAGAGGGGGGCGGAAUUCGUCGUGUAGCGGUGAAAUGCUUAGAUAUCACGAAGAACUCCGAUUGCGAAGGCAGUUCCUUGGACUGCAACUGACACUGAGGCUCGAAAGUGUGGGUAUCAAACAGGAUUAGAUACCCCAGUAGUC